rnacentral:rRNA from 1 species
GACGAACGCUGGCGGCGCGCUUAACACAUGCAAGUCGAACGGAAAGGCCUGCUUUCCCUUGUGGAUUGCGGGUACUCGAGUGGCGAACGGGUGAGUAACACGUGAGUGAUCUGCCCCCAACUUGGGUAUAAGCCUGGGAAACUGGGUCUAAUUCCCGAUAGGACUGCAGGGUGGUGCCUGUGGUGGAAAACGAUUUUCUAGUGGUUGGGGAUGAGCUCGCGGCCUAUCAGCUUGUUGGUGGGGUAAUGGCCGACCAAGGCGGCGACGGGUAGCCGGCCUGAGAGGGUGGACGGCCACAUUGGGACUGAGAUACGGCCCAGACUCCUACGGGAGGCAGCAGUGGGGAAUAUUGCACAAUGGGCGGAAGCCUGAUGCAGCGACGCCGCGUGGGGGAUGACGGCCUUCGGGUUGUAAACUCCUUUCGACCGCGAGGAAGCCACCUGGUUGGAAGGGUGGUGACGGUAGUGGUAGAAGAAGCACCGGCUAAUUACGUG